rnacentral:rRNA from 1 species
AGAGACAUCAGCCGCCACGGUAAUACGAAGGGGGCUAGCGUUGUUCGGAAUUACUGGGCGUAAAGCGCACGUAGGCGGACUUUUAAGUCAGGGGUGAAAUCCCGGGGCUCAACCUCGGAACUGCCUUUGAUACUGGAAGUCUUGAGUGUGGAAGAGGUAAGUGGAAUUGCGAGUGUAGAGGUGAAAUUCGUAGAUAUUCGCAGGAACACCAGUGGCGAAGGCGGCUUACUGGUCCACAACUGACGCUGAGGUGCGAAAGCGUGGGGAGCAAACAGGAUUAGAUACCCGCGUAGUCCCUGUCUCUUAUAA